GAUCGCGCCCUGGGCCAAAGGCAGGCGCCAAACCGCUGCGCCACCCAGGGAUCCCCGGGCAGAAAAGUGAAUCAAUGCUGAAGCUUUCAUAGGACGGACAAGAGGAAACCCACAGACCGAACUCAUCCUUCCUUCAUAUGCCUUCGACAGCAAACUUCUGGGAUCAUAAGAAAUGACUUUUUCAGGAUGCAUAUGAUUCAAAAACAAUUUCUUAUAAGAUUCAGUAGGGGGGAAAAAUCAGUUCCAGAGCUUGUGGAGGCUUUAUCUCAAUUCUGAGUAUGCAUCGCCUCACCUUCUAUGGACCUAACUCUCUCUAGGCACACCUGUCUCUAACAUCAACAGCAUAAACCUCAAAUAACCCAACUCUCAUCUUCUCCUGAUCCCAUCUCAGUUCAUACUUAUCAGGUGAAAAACUGAUAUCACCAGUGUGGUCAUCAUCAGCUUUCCUUUUUUGCAGCAUGUCAGCAUCUGACCUCUCCCCUCCCGGACAGCUUGGUUUGAGGGAUUUGAAGUUUAAACUAUAUUUUAUCUCUGUACCUUCCUGAUAUUGGUAAUAAAAUAGGUUGGCUGGAAGACA